CCUAGGGGGGGCAGCAGUGAGGCAUAUUGGUCAAUGGGCGCUAGCCUGAACCAGCCAAGUAGCGUGAAGGAUGACUGCCCUAUGGGUUGUAAACUUCUUUUAUAUGGGAAUAAAGUGCAGUAUGUAUACUGCUUUGCAUGUACCUUAUGAAUAAGGAUCGGCUAACUCCGUGCCAGCAGCCGCGGUAAUACGGAGGAUCCGAGCGUUAUCCGGAUUUAUUGGGUUUAAAGGGAGCGUAGGCGGGUUGUUAAGUCAGUUGUGAAAGUUUGGGGCUCAACCGUAAAAUUGCAGUUGAUAGUGGCAUCCGUGGGUACAGUAGAGGAGGGCGAAAUUCGAGGUGUAGCGGUGAAAUGUUUAGA
rnacentral:rRNA from 1 species